GAUGAACGCUGGCGGCAUGCUUAACACAUGCCAGUCGGACGGGAAGUGGUGUUUUCCGUGGCGGACUGGUGAGUAACGCGUAAGAACCUGCCCUGUGGAGGGGAACAACAGCUGGAAAAGGCCGCUAAUACCCCGUAGCCUGUGGGGCAAAAGGGGGACUCCGCCCGAGGAGGGGCUCGCGUCUGAUAAGCUAGUUGGUGAGGUUAUAGCGUACCAAGGUCAUGAUGAGGAGCUGGUGCGAGCGGACGAUGAGCCACACUGGGACUGAGACACGGGCAGCAGUCCGAAGGAAGGCAGCAGGGGCGCAAUUCCCACGAUGGGAGGCCGCCUGACGGAGCAAUGCCGUGGGGAGGUAGACCUCCUACGUGAGGGAAACAUCUUUUGCCGGUGAAGAAGUAAUGACGGUACCUGGAGAAUAAGCACCGGCUAACUCCGUG
rnacentral:rRNA from 1 species